GAGUCAGAUACGACUGAAGCAACUGAGCACGGGGGGCUUAAGUGAUGGCUACAGACCUAUAGAUGGAUCUACAGCUGGAUGUUCCCAUAUGCUGCCUUUUGGAUGAGAAUGCUGAGUCUCAAGGAGGACAAGUGGUCCUGGGGUUUCCCACCAGUCGACCAGACAUCUCUGUGGGCUCCUGAGAUCAGAGCAUGAUACACAGGGCCCGGCAGCCUGUUCUAAGGACCCAGCAAUUUGG